rnacentral:lncRNA from 13 species
CUCUGCCGGAAGGUCAGCUGUGGAGCAGGAAAAGACCCAGAAACUCCGCUCUCCUCUUGCUGGGCACGCUGGCCUGACCUGCACUCAGCAGCCGCAGCCUUCCACGACAGCUUCCUUGGGGCCCAGAUAUUGUUCUCAUAGCUUCAGGGAGAAGCACUUC